AAAAGCUUUGCCUCAUUCAUUAAUUAAGUAGAAGGUGCUCAGUUUUUAGGAGAAAACCAGGCGAAAACCAACAACAACCAGGCCAAAGCCACACUCACAACCACACACACUCGGCCACAAGGGACACACCUAGCCACCCUGGCUACCCACAAAAGCCACACAAAGGCGAAGCUUAAGUCGGCCUAUGCCAAACAGAUGGCUCUUCGAGGAGAGACCGGCAGCUUCGAUUCUGAAGACGAGCCCCGGAAAGGAGAUGCGCAAGACCUGCGCCGAGUAGGACCUUCAUCGAACCGCCCCAUGAAGGUCAUCGUACACCGCCCAAAGGCAGCUUCGACUUCACAGCGAGAGGAGACCAACACGAAGACACUCGAACACGCCGGAACGGAGCCGACUAACAUGAUCUUGCCGCUACCAAACCUUGGUCACCACCAUCGUCGUUGCCUCACAAGCCUCCACCCGGAACCCCACAUCUCCGGUCAACCUCCUGCCAACCUAGAUGUCGUGUGCGUCCAGCCCGCCGGGGCGCGCGAAGAGGAUCACCGGCUUCAAGACGACGCCCUCAAGAGGGGAAACGACGAUGAGACGACGUCGUCGUCCAAUCCCGCAAAGCGGGAUCAAGGCUUUCACCCGAAGCCGUGAACCCGAGGGUAGCAAAGGUCGGACAGCUCCACGACCGCCCCCCAAGGAGGACGGCGACAUCCACGGACGCCGCGCGGUCAAGCUUUCACCCGGAGCAAACGAGCCUCUACAUCCCCACGCGGCCGGACAGCAAGGCGGAGACCAAACCGCCGCCAGCCCGCACCCCACGGACGCACACCUCUUGUGCGGCAACAGCGCCACCGCCACACAGGAGCCACCGCCGCCAAACCAGACCGAGAAGCUCAGCGAGCUCCGCUGCCACCGCCCGCACCACGCGGGGUUGAAGCCGAGCCACACCACUGCUGCCAGCCGAGCUCACCGAAGCAGAGCGCCGCGGGCGCCGCCAACCGCCACAGAGAGGGGGCUUCGACGGACGCCAACACGGAGAUCCAAAACAUAGAGCCAGCGGCCGCAGAAAUGCGAGCACCCCGACCGGAUUGGCGGCCCCUCGAAACCACCCACAGCCGCGCCACCGCGGGAGCCCUACACUCUGGCCACUGCCGAAGAGCGCCACCACCAGAGCCUGGAGGGAGGGCCGCCACCCCACCACAGCAAGCCGGACGAGCCGUCGGGAAAGCCCGUGCCUACUCGUCGCCGCGCUGCACCGAGCAGCCAUGGUAGCCGAAGCCGCCAGAUGCCCGAGCAGCUCUGCCUUGGCCUUGGACCACCGCGCCGCGCUGCUGAAGGAGCCCGAGCCUCACCCGCCGCCACCGACGGCCGCAGACGCCCUACCGCCCACACGGCCAGGACGCUGCCACCAACCACCUGCAACGGCCACCACGACCAGGGCCGCCUGCCGACAGGAGGGAUUCAGGGGCCGCCGCCCCUGCGUGCCCGCGCCAAGGAAAGGAGCUCCUCCGCUCAGGAGCUCUCACCACCACGCCACCUUUGGGGCGGGCCCCGCCGCCGCCGCGGCCAUAGCCAGCGACGACGGCGGUGAGGAGGUCAAGAGCGGGAGGGCGGCGCGACGCGAAGUGGGGACGCCCCGGUGCGGCCCUGACGAGCCACACGGGGGCGGAGGCGAAGUUGAAGCCGGUAGAGGAUGAGCUUGGAAGUGAUGAAGCCGACCGCUCGCUCGAAGCCUGGGCCUACCAGCUGGUGCAGAGGAGAGAGGGGACGGAGGGGGUUCCGGAUCUGGUCUCGCCGGCCGCCGGGGUGGUGGGAGCAGAGAGAUCGGCGGGCGCCGGCGGCGCGCUGGGCCGACCUGCCCGUACUUUGCAUUUUGGUGACAAGAAACAUGGACAAUUGGUGAUAGGUUCAUUAAAGACAUAACUGAGGAGCACUGUCGGUUCAUCUGGCCUGCAAUUUGAUUAUGCAACUCAACAUUUAGUUGCUCAAGGUUUAAAUAUAUCAGGUUUGUUAUGAACCCGUUGUCUCAGUGUCAGUGUUGACUGUGUGCUGCCGUUUUGUAGUGGACUUGCUAGACGGACUAUCUAAAAUAAGAGGCUUUACUCGAUGCUUAUAAUCAAAGGAGCAUUCCAAAAAGAAAGGUUCCAGUGUGAAUGAUAAUAAUGACAACCCUGCUUAUGAAAUGACUCCGGAUGGUCAGCGACAGAAGGAUGGUUCAACCGAUCUUUCAUCAAGCAAAGAAGCAAAAGCUGAUUCUCACAAAGUGCAUACAACUGGUGAUCCGCAUGAGAGUAAAAUACAUACAAUUUGAUAUCUUUUCUAGUGAUCCGCUAUUUCCUGAUGGGGAAGUUCUUCAAACAAAGUGCAUCUCCAGUUUCCCUGAUGAUCCACAUGAUAAUAAAAUACAAAUCAGAAAAGGUAUGAAACAACAGUUUGAAAACUGCAUACAGCCUAGAGGCGUGGUUAUGUACCUUUACUCUCCCUGAUGAUUCCAGGAGUUCUCUCGCAUAACAAUGGUGCAGGGUACCCUUUAUAUGCAUGCUUUAGGAUUCUAUGGUUUCAGGCAAGUACCGAUAUGGUUGAUCUGCAAUGAUGGAGUUUCCUUUGAAAUGUGAUUGAUCCCUGAAAUGUUGCGGUUUUCUUUCUUGUACCUGACAUAAUGGUGUGUUGAUAGAUCCCUGAAAUGUUGUGUGCACUUUCCUGGAAUGCGCGAUGAAUUAAUGUUGCGAUUUCCUAUUC